rnacentral:rRNA from 1 species
AUCGGGUCAGACCCGAGGCGCACUGCUCAGUAACACGUGGAGAAUCUGCCCUUAGGUGAGGAAUAACCUCGGGAAACUGAGAACAAUACCUCAUAGGUUAUGGAUGCUGGAAUGCUUCAUAGCCCAAAGCCCCGGCGCCUAAGGAUGACUCUGCGGACUAUCAGGUAGUAGUCAGGCUAACGACCUGACUAGCCUACGACGGAUACGGGGUGUGAGAGCACUAGCCCGGAGAUGGAUUCUGAGACACGAAUCCAGGCCCUACGGGGUGCAGCAGGCGCGAAACUUCCGCAAUGCUCGCCAGAGUGACGGAGGGAUUCCAAGUGCCUAUGCUAUGCGUAGGCUGUUUUUAUGUCUAAAUAACAUGGAGAGUAAGAGCUGGGUAAGACGGGUGCCAGCCGCCGCGGUAAUACCUGCAGCUCGAGUGGUAACCGCUAUUAUUGGGCCUAAAGCGUCCGUAGCCGGUUUGGUAAAUAUCUGGGUAAAUCGUGAGGCUUAACUUCACGAAUUUCGGAUAGACUGCCAGACUUGGGAUCGGGGGAGGUCAGAGGUACUCCAGGGGUAGCGGUGAAAUGUUGUAAUC